rnacentral:misc_RNA from 1 species
UCUCCGUAGGUGAACCUGCGGAGGGAUCAUUACAGAGUUCAUGCACUUCCGAGUAGAUCUCCCACCUUGUGUUAUCGUUACCUUUGUUGCCUUGGCGGGCCGUCCCGUCCUUUGCCCGGCUACCGGCCCCGGCUGGUACCGCCCCGCCAAUGGACCCUACACUCUUGAAUAACAGUGUCGUCUGAGUACUAUGUAAAAGUUAAAACUUUCAACAACGGAUCUCCUGGUUCUG